ACAGCCCAUCGAAACCAUUGUUCUUAAUGCUUGGAGCAGGACUUUGAAGACCUAGGCAUGCAAUUCAUUAUGAGGUUUCCAAUUCCGAAGGCAAACCUAAACUCCGUUUAUAAUUUGAAUGGAUAUUGUAUAAUUUGACCUUUUUAAGUAGAGAUUCUCCGUGACCUCUAUUCUGUUUGAUCUUAGGAAAGCUAAAGGG
rnacentral:lncRNA from 1 species